GACGAACGCUGGCGGCGUGCUUAACACAUGCAAGUCGAACGGAAAGGCCUGCUUUCCCUUGUGGAUUGCGGGUACUCGAGUGGCGAACGGGUGAGUAACACGUGAGUGAUCUGCCCCCAACUUGGGUAUAAGCCUGGGAAACUGGGUCUAAUUCCCGAUAGGACUGCAGGGUGGUGCCUGUGGUGGGAAACGAUUUUCUAGUGGUUGGGGAUGAGCUCGCGGCCUAUCAGCUUGUUGGUGGGGUAAUGGCCUACCAAGGCGGCGACGGGUAGCCGGCCUGGGAGGGUGGACGGCCGCAUUGGGACUGGGAUCCGGCCCCGACGGGUACGGGAGGGAGGAGAGGGGAAUAUUGCACGAGGAGCGGAAGCCUGAUGCAGCGACGCCGCGUGGGAGAUGACGGGCUUGGGGUAGUAAACUCCUUGGGACCGAGAGGAAGCCACCUGGUUGGAAGGGUGGUGACGGUAGUGGUAGAAGAAGCAACGGCUAACUACGUG
rnacentral:rRNA from 1 species